rnacentral:rRNA from 1 species
CUACGGGUGGCAGCAGUGAGGAAUAUUGCACAAUGGGGGGAACCCUGAUGCAGCAACGCCGCGUGGAGGAUGACGCAUUACGGUGUGUAAACUCCUUUUAUAUGUCAAGAAAAUGACGGUAGCAUAUGAAUAAGCACCGGCUAACUCCGUGCCAGCAGCCGCGGUAAUACGGAGGGUGCAAGCGUUACUCGGAAUCACUGGGCGUAAAGGACGCGUAGGCGGAUUGGAAAGUCAGGUGUGAAAUCCUACAGCUUAACUGUAGAACUGCACUUGAAACUUCUAAUCUAGAGUAUGGGAGGGGGAGAUGGAAUUAGUGGUGUAGGGGUAAUAUCCGUAGAUAUCACUAGGAAUACCUAAAGCGAAGGCGAUCUCCUGGAACAUUACUGACGCUAAGGCGUGAAAGCGUGGGGAGCAAACAGGAUUAGAUACCCCAGUAGUC